rnacentral:lncRNA from 1 species
AUGGCUCGUACAAGGCAGACUGCCCACAAAUCAACCGGUGGUAAACCACCCAGGAAGCAACUGGCUACAAAAGCCGCUCGCAAGAGUGUGCCCUCUACUGGAGGGGUGAAGAAACCUCAUCGUUACAGGCCUGGUACUGUGGCGCUCCGUGAAAUUAGAUGUUAUCAGAAGUCCACUGAACUUCUGAUUCGCUAACUUCCCUUCCAGCGUCUGGUGCGAGAAAUUGCUCAGGACUUUAAAACAGAUCUGCACUUCCAGAGCGCAGCUAUCGGUGCUUUGCAGGAGGCAAGUGAGGCCUAUCUGGUUGGCCUUUUUGAAGACACCAACCUGUGUGCUAUCCAUGCCAAACGUGUAACAAUUAUGCCAAAAGACAUCCAGCUAGCAUGCCACAUACGUUGAGAAUGUGCUUUA